GGCUUCUACCGGUAGGUGACAGGGCAGUGUUCCCAGCAGUGGGACAAGAGGCACUGGCACCAGGCCAUGAGCCAUGCAUUCCUAGCUCUGCAGGGCAUGCAUGCCACGCGGACUGUGACAGUGAGCUCUUCCAGGCCCCCAGUGAGCCUGAGAGGGGGUCUGGGAAGAGUCAAGAGACACCCAGACAGUGCCAUGUGGCAGUGAAGCCUCUGGUCCCAAUCUGCCAGGGUGCAAAGCCCCAGGACUGCUGGUGGGAUGUUGGCACUACCCCGUUUUCCUUUUCCAGCUACAACAGAAUGGCAGAGAGGAAAGGACCCUCCGGGAUCUUCCAGUUCAGCCAGCCCAUUUUACAGAGGUGGAGACUGAGGCCAGAGUGGAGUCACCGCUGGGCAUGGGGCCACCUAGCAAAGGACUGCAUCUCUCAGGCCUUCUCAUAGGUAGGUACAGUCACAUGGCUGGGCUCUUGCCAUUGCUAGAAAGUGGAAGUGAUGAGUCCAUGGCUCUGAAAACAGCAGGUGUACCUCUUCCACACUCUCUUCCCCUAUCCCUUCGGCUGAACCUGAAUGUUACAGUGGCUUCAACCGUGCAGAUGGUGACAAGGUCCUAGAGAUGGAAGAACCUGAAGACGGAAGAAACCUGGGUGCCUGAGUGACCAGGUGGAGCAGAGUGACUUUGCCAUGAAAAAGAAGUUGGGUUCCUCUCUUGUGACAGCAGCUCAGCCUUUUAUUGUGAACGGAAGAGCACCCCAUUUUCUGAGUUCCCUGAACCACGUCCAGACACUGCACCCCAACUCACUGGACUCUCCCACUAGAGAGCAACCUCUCAGCUGGCUCAGUUAUAAAAGCCCUGGAGACAAAAAUGUGCUUUGGAAUCAGACAUGGUUUCUCAUCCAGCUCUGCUCCUUCCUGGCUGUGCAACUUUGGACAAGUGACUUUACCUCUCUGAACUCCAUUCUCUCUUAUCCAAAAAAGGAUUCCAGCUAGCUCUGCCAUGAGGAUUCAAUGACAGGACGCAGGAGUGCUCAUGCUGUGGGUUCCGUCCAGAAUGUGGUCCAACAAAUCCAUCACACGCAGGUGGGGGCGUGUCCCAGCCCCUGGGGUGAGUCUAAGUAAGGCUGCCCACGCUUGGCAUUUGAGGCCAGAUAAUUCUCAGUGGGGUGGGGGUGGAGGGGCAUCCUGUGCGUUGGAGGAUACUGAAUGGUGUCCCUGGCCUCCACCCACCAGAUGAGAGUAGCAGCCCCAGCCCCAGGCUUGGAAAAGGUUUCCAGAGAUUGCCAACUGUCCCCUGCGGGUGAAAUUGCUGCUGUACAGGAAUCACAAAGAACUCAGACACGGAGAUCCUCCUGGAGCUAAUGGUCCACGGGGGCCCCUUCUUUGUGGACACAGACACCUCGGUACACACACCCGGAGGACCCAGGAGGGCCAGGCUGAAGGAGGGCAUCACCUUCCAUCUGGGGGACUUAUCCCCCUCUCCCCACACUUACACUUGAAGGUGGACUCAGUGCUGACCCUCAGGGCCAGGGCACACGGCAGGUGCAUUUUGGGAGGGAAAGGCCAGCUUUGGUCUGGAAAGGGGCACACCUCCUCUUGGAAAUACAAAAAAUACACAUGGGCAAGGACACGGCUUUGUAACAAACCCACUUUUAUUGAUAGUGUACACGGAGAUCCAUGGUGGCGGGGCUGUGCCUGGGUGA
rnacentral:lncRNA from 10 species